AGAGUUUGAUCCUGGCUCAGAUUGAACGCUGGCGGAAUGCUUUACACAUGCAAGUCGAACGGCAGCACGGGAGCUUGCUCCUGGUGGCGAGUGGCGAACGGGUGAGUAAUGCGUCGGAACGUACCGAGUAAUGGGGGAUAACGCAGCGAAAGCUGUGCUAAUACCGCAUACGCCCUGAGGGGGAAAGUGGGGGAUCGCAAGACCUCACGUUAUUCGAGCGGCCGACGUCUGAUUAGCUAGUUGGUGGGGUAAUGGCUCACCAAGGCGACGAUCAGUAGCGGGUCUGAGAGGAUGAUCCGCCACACUGGAACUGAGACACGGUCCAGACUCCUACGGGAGGCAGCAGUGGGGAAUUUUGGACAAUGGGGGCAACCCUGAUCCAGCCAUUCCGCGUGAGUGAAGAAGGCCUUCGGGUUGUAAGCUCUUUCAGCUGGAACGAAACGGUACGCACUAACAUUGUGUGCUAAUGACGGUACCGGCAGAAGAAGCACCGGCUAACUACGUGCCAGCAGCCGCGGUAAUACGUAGG
rnacentral:rRNA from 1 species